ACUCCUACGGGAGGCAGCAGUGGGGAAUAUUGCACAAUGGGCGAAAGCCUGAUGCAGCGACGCCGCGUGAGGGAUGACGGCCUUCGGGUUGUAAACCUCUUUCAGCAGGGAAGAAGCGAAAGUGACGGUACCUGCAGAAGAAGCACCGGCUAACUACGUGCCAGCAGCCGCGGUAAUACGUAGGGUGCGAGCGUUGUCCGGAAUUAUUGGGCGUAAAGAGCUUGUAGGCGGUUUGUCGCGUCUGCCGUGAAAUUUCGGGGCUCAACCCCGAACUUGCGGUGGGUACGGGCAGACUAGAGUGUGGUAGGGGAGACUGGAAUUCCUGGUGUAGCGGUGAAAUGCGCAGAUAUCAGGAGGAACACCGAUGGCGAAGGCAGGUCUCUGGGCCACUACUGACGCUGAGAAGCGAAAGCAUGGGGAGCGAACAGGAUUAGAUACCCUGGUAG
rnacentral:rRNA from 1 species